GAAGGGACCCAGCGUAGUUCGGAAUUACUGGGCUUAAAGAGUUCGUAGGUGGUUGAAAAAGUUGGUGGUGAAAUCCCAGAGCUUAACUCUGGAACUGCCAUCAAAACUUUUCAGCUAGAGUAUGAUAGAGGAAAGUAGAAUUUCUAGUGUAGAGGUGAAAUUCGUAGAUAUUAGAAAGAAUACCAAUUGCGAAGGCAGCUUUCUGGAUCAUUACUGACACUGAGGAACGAAAGCAUGGGUAGCGAAGAGGAUUAGAUACCCUCGUAGUCCAUGCCGUAAACGAUGUGUGUUAGACGUUGGAAAUUUAUUUUCAGUGUCGCAGCGAAAGCAAUAAACACACCGCCUGGGGAGUACGACCGCAAGGUUAAAACUCAAAUGAAUUGACGGGGACCCGCACAAGUAGUGGAGCAUGUGGUUUAAUUCGAAGAUACGCGCAGAACCUUACCAACACUUGACAUGUUCGUCGCGACUCUAAGAGAUUAGAGUUUUCGGUUCGGCCGGACGAAACACAGGUGCUGCAUGGCUGUCGUCAGCUCGUGUCGUGAGAUGUUGGGUUAAGUCCCGCAACGAGCGCAACCCUCACUUUUAGUUGCCAUCAUUUAGUUGGGCACUCUGAAAGAACUGCCAGUGAUAAGCUGGAGGAAGUGGGGGAUGACGUCAAGUCCUCAUGGCCCUUACGUGUUGGGCUACACACGUGCUACAAUGGUAUCUACAACAGGAAGCGAGACGGCAACGUUAAGCAAAUCCCGAAAAGAUACCUCAGUUCGGAUUGCACUCUGCAACUCGAGUGCAUGAACUGGAUACUA
rnacentral:rRNA from 1 species